rfam:Triticum aestivum genome assembly, contig: Triticum_aestivum_CS42_TGACv1_scaffold_513477_6BS
AAACUACUCCCUCCGUCCUAAAAUUCUUGUCUUAAAUUUGUCUAGAUAUGGAUGUAUCUAAUAGUAAAAUGUGACUUGAUACGUCCAUAUUUAGACAAAUCUAAGACAAAUUGUUUGUGAUGGAGGGAGUAGAAU